rnacentral:rRNA from 1 species
UACGAAGGGGGCUAGCGUUGUUCGGAAUUACUGGGCGUAAAGCGCACGUAGGCGGAUACUUAAGUCAGGGGUGAAAUCCCGGGGCUCAACCCCGGAACUGCCUUUGAUACUGGGUAUCUCGAGUCCGGAAGAGGUGAGUGGAAUUCCGAGUGUAGAGGUGAAAUUCGUAGAUAUUCGAAGGAACACCAGUGGCGAAGGCGGCUCACUGGUCCGGUACUGACGCUGAGGUGCGAAAGCGUGGGGAGCAAACAGG